GCCUUGGUAGUGUAGUGGACCAGCAUACGACCCUGUCACGGUUGUGACCCGGGUUCGAAUCCCGGCCAAGGCG
rnacentral:tRNA from 1 species